rnacentral:rRNA from 1 species
GAUGAACGCUGGCGGCGUGCCUAAUACAUGCAAGUCGAGCGAACACACGAUGAGCUUUCGCCUCUAACGUUAGCGGCUGACGGGUGAGUAACACGUACAUAACCUACUUAUAAUUCUUGGAUAACUUCGUGAAGCCGGAGCCAAUACCACAUCAUAUAUUGUACCGCUUAGAUCAAUAGAGCAUGACGCUUUUGCUGUCUCUAUUAGACGGAUUCGUGCCGGAUUAGCUAGUUGGUAAGGUAAAGGCCUACCAAGGCAACGAUGCGUAGCCGAUCUGAGAGGAUGAUCAGCCACACUGGAACUGAGACACGGUCCAGACUCCUACGGGAGGCAGCAGUAGGGAAUAUUGCGCAAUGGGCGAAAGCCUGACGGAGCAACGCCGCGUGAGUGAAGAAGGUCUUCGGAUCGUAAAACUCUGUUAUUAGGGAAGAAAAACAGUGUAAGAAACCACGGCCGUUCUGACGGUACCUAAUCAGAAAGCAACGGCUAACUACGUG